rnacentral:rRNA from 1 species
UACAGAGGCCUCGAGCGUUAGGCGGAAUCACUGGGCUUAAAGCGUGUGUAGGCGGACUUCUAAGUACCUUGUGAAAUCCCACGGCUCAACCGUGGAACUGCUUGGUAUACUGGUUGUCUUGAGCCAUCUAGGGGCGAGCGGAACAAGUGGUGGAGCGGUGAAAUGCGUAGAUAUCACUUGGAACGCCAACGGUGAAAACAGCUCGCUGGGGAUGUGCUGACGCUGAGACACGAAAGCCAGGGGAGCGAACGGG